AGAAAAAAUACCAGUUCAAGGACCUGCGGAAGAACAUUAUUCGUAUAACCCGGAGGCGUGUGAGGGGCUGUCGCUGACCCUUUUCGAGGGUCGUGCACGCCCUGCGCGUGUCUUCACAGUUGAAUCCACAUCACCCUUGUGCAUCGCCGCGUGGGCCCCCUUUUGUUUUUCAAAGGGGCCCGCGUCUUUUUCCUACACGGACGCAGAAGGGCCUUACGUUUUGGUUGGCAACACACGCGAUCCAUAACACUUUCAACAACGGAUCCCUUGGCUCUCGCAUCCAUGAAGAACGGCGCGAAAUGGGAAACGUAAUGGGAAUUGGAGAAUUCCGUGGAUCAUCGAAUCUUUGAACGCACCUUGCGCCCCUUGGCAUUCCGAGGGGCACACCCGUUUGAGUGUCGUGGAAUCCUCAACCUUCUUCGUUUCCUUGAAUCCGAGAAGGCUUGGACUUUGGAGGCUUUUGCAGGCCCUUUCUUCACAAAAGGGCAGCUCCUCCUAAAGAAUUAGCAGGGGAUCCCCCUUAGCCGAUCCUCGGACGUGAUAAGUUCUGGGCAGAGACCCGCUUCCAACCAAAAUAAAACCUUUUUUGACCUCAGAUCGGGUGAGACUACCCGCUGAACUUAAGCAUAUCAAUAAGCGGAGGAAAAAAACUAACAAGGAUUCCCUAGUAACUGCGAGUGAAGCGGGAAAAGCUCAAAUUUAAAAUC
rnacentral:sRNA from 1 species